CCAUGCAUGUCUAAGUAGAAGCUUUAUACUGUGAAACUGCGAAUGGCUCAUUAACUCUUUUAUAGUUUAUUUGAUGGUGCUUCCUACUCGGAUAACCGUAGGAAAACUAGAGCUAAUACGUGCGUAUAAUCCCGACUUCGGAAGGGACGUAUUUAUUAGAUAAGAGGCCGACCGGGGAAACCCGACCUUCGGUGAAUCAUAAUAACUUCACGAAUCGCAUGGCCCUGCGCCGGCGAUGUUUCAUUCAAAUUUCUGCCCUAUCAACUUUCGACGGUAGGGUAGUGGCCUACCGUGGUGGUAACGGGUAACGGAGGAUUAGGGUUCGAUUCCGGAGAGGGAGCCUGAGAAACGGCUACCACAUCCAAGGAAGGCAGCAGGCGCGCAAAUUACCCAAAUCCCAACUCGGGGAGGUAGUGACAAGAAAUAACGAUGCUCCGGCCUACGGUCGGGUAAUCGGAAUGAGAACAACAUAAAUCCCUUAUCGAGGAUCAAUUGGAGGGCAAGUCUGGUGCCAGCAGCCGCGGUAAUUCCAGCUCCAAUAGCGUAUAUUUAAGUUGCUGCGGUUAAAAAGCUCGUAGUCGGAUUUCGGGUGGUACCUGCCGGUCCGCCUCAGGUGAGUACUGGCAGGCGCUACCUUUCUGCCGAGGACAGGCUCGUGGGCUUUACUGUCUGGGGUCUGGAGUCGGCGACGUCACUUUGAGUAAAUUA
rnacentral:rRNA from 1 species